AGAGUUUGAUCCUGGCUCAGAACGAACGCUGGCGGCAGGCCUAACACAUGCAAGUCGAACGAGAAGCCACCUUCGGGUGGUGGACAGUGGCAGACGGGUGAGUAACGCGUGGGAACGUGCCUUUCGGUUCGGGAUAACCCAGGGAAACUUGGGCUAAUACCGGAUACGCCCUCCGGGGGAAAGAUUCAUCGCCGAAAGAUCGGCCCGCGUCGGAUUAGCUAGUUGGUAGGGUAAUGGCCUACCAAGGCGACGAUCCGUAGCUGGUCUGAGAGGAUGACCAGCCACACUGGGACUGAGACACGGCCCAGACUCCUACGGGAGGCAGCAGUAGGGAAUCUUGCGCAAUGGGCGAAAGCCUGACGCAGCGACGCCGCGUGAGGGAAGAAGGCCUUCGGGUUGUAAACCUCUUUCAGGAGGGACGAAGCCACUCGGGUUAAUAGCCUAGAGGGUGACGGUACCUCCAGAAGAAGCCCCGGCUAACUACGUGCCAGCCGCCGCGGUAAUAC
rnacentral:rRNA from 1 species